rnacentral:rRNA from 1 species
UACGUAGGUGGCGAGCGUUGUCCGGAUUUACUGGGCGUAAAGAGCGCGCAGGCGGUCGUACAAGUCGCGUGUGAAAGCCCCCGGCUCAACUGGGGAGGGUCACGCGAUACUGUUCGACUCGAAGGCAGGAGAGGGUAGUGGAAUUCCCGGUGUAGUGGUGAAAUGCGUAGAUAUCAGGAGGAACACCGACGGCGAAGGCAGCACUCUGGGCCGGUACUGACGCUGAGGAGCGGAAGCAUGGGGAGCGAACAGG